rnacentral:rRNA from 1 species
CAAUAGCGUAUAUUAAAGUUGUUGCAGUUAAAAAGCUCGUAGUUGGAUCUCAGGUCCAGGCUUGCGGUCCACUCCUUGGUGGCUACUGCUCGUCCUGACCUACCUCCCGGUUUUACCCUUGGUGCUCUUGAUUGAGUGUCUCGGGUGGCCGGAACAUUUACUUUGAAAAAUUAGAGUGUUCAAAGCAGGCAAUUCGCCUGAAUAAUGGUGCAUGGAAUAAUGGAAUAGGACCUCGGUUCUAUUUUGUUGGUUUUCGGAACUUGAGGUAAUGAUUAAGAGGGACAGUUGGGGGUGCUGCUAUUAUAUGGCCAGAGGUGAAAUUCACGGAUUCAUAUAAGAGCAACUUAUGCGAAAGCAUUCACCAAGGAUGUCUUCUUUAAUCAAGAACGAAAGUUGGGGGAUCGAAGACGAUUAGAUACCG